UGAUUACUCCCUCCGUCCAAAAUUACUUGUCGCAAAAGUGGAUAAAAAUGGAUGUAUCUAGAACUAAAAUAAGUCUACAUACAUCCAUUUCUUCGACAAGUAUUUCCGGACGGAGGGAGUACUUU
rfam:Triticum aestivum genome assembly, contig: Triticum_aestivum_CS42_TGACv1_scaffold_031765_1BL